rnacentral:rRNA from 1 species
GGGUUGUGAGGUUAAGCGACUAAGCGUACACGGUGGAUGCCCUGGCAGUCAGAGGCGAUGAAGGACGUGCUAAUCUGCGAAAAGCGUCGGUAAGGUGAUAUGAACCGUUAUAACCGGCGAUGUCCGAAUGGGGAAACCCAGUGCAAUUCGUUGCACUAUCGUUAACUGAAUACAUAGGUUAACGAGGCGAACCGGGGGAACUGAAACAUCUAAGUACCCCGAGGAAAAGAAAUCAACCGAGAUUCCCCCAGUAGCGGCGAGCGAACGGGGAGCAGCCCAGAGUCUGAAUCAGCUUGUGUGUUAGUGGAACGGUCUGGAAAGUCCGACGGUACAGGGUGAUAGUCCCGUACACCAAAAUGCACAGGCUGUGAACUCGAAGAGUAGGGCGGGACACGUGGUAUCCUGUCUGAAUAUGGGGGGACCAUCCUCCAAGGCUAAAUACUCCUGACUGACCGAUAGUGAACCAGUACCGUGAGGGAAAGGCGAAAAGAACCCCGGCGAGGGGAGUGAAAAAGAACCUGAAACCGUGUACGUACAAGCAGUGGGAGCACCUUCGGGUGUGACUGCGUACCUUUUGUAUAAUGGGUCAGCGACUUAUAUUCUGUAGCAAGGUUAACCGUAUAGGGGAGCCGCAGGGAAACCGAGUCUUAACUGGGCGUUAAGUUGCAGGGUAUAGACCCGAAACCCGGUGAUCUAGCCAUGGGCAGGUUGAAGGUUGGGUAACACUAACUGGAGGACCGAACCGACUAAUGUUGAAAAAUUAGCGGAUGACUUGUGGCUGGGGGUGAAAGGCCAAUCAAACCGGGAGAUAGCUGGUUCUCCCCGAAAGCUAUUUAGGUAGCGCCUCGUGAACUCAUCUUCGGGGGUAGAGCACUGUUUCGGCUAGGGGGUCAUCCCGACUUACCAACCCGAUGCAAACUACGAAUACCGAAGAAUGUUAUCACGGGAGACACACGGCGGGUGCUAACGUCCGUCGUGAAGAGGGAAACAACCCAGACCGCCAGCUAAGGUCCCAAAGUCAUGGUUAAGUGGGAAACGAUGUGGGAAGGCACAGACAGCCAGGAUGUUGGCUUAGAAGCAGCCAUCAUUUAAAGAAAGCGUAAUAGCUCACUGGUCGAGUCGGCCUGCGCGGAAGAUGUAACGGGGCUAAACCAUGCACCGAAGCUGCGGCAGCGACACUAUGUGUUGUUGGGUAGGGGAGCGUUCUGUAAGCCUGCGAAGGUGACCUGUGAGGGUUGCUGGAGGUAUCAGAAGUGCGAAUGCUGACAUAAGUAACGAUAAAGCGGGUGAAAAGCCCGCUCGCCGGAAGACCAAGGGUUCCUGUCCAACGUUAAUCGGGGCAGGGUGAGUCGACCCCUAAGGCGAGGCCGAAAGGCGUAGUCGAUGGGAAACAGGUUAAUAUUCCUGUACUUGGUGUUACUGCGAAGGGGGGACGGAGAAGGCUAUGUUAGCCGGGCGACGGUUGUCCCGGUUUAAGCAUGUAGGCUGAUUGUCCAGGCAAAUCCGGAUAAUCAAGGCUGAGGUGUGAUGACGAGGCACUACGGUGCUGAAGUAACAAAUGCCCUGCUUCCAGGAAAAGCCUCUAAGCAUCAGGUAACAUUAAAUCGUACCCCAAACCGACACAGGUGGUCAGGUAGAGAAUACCAAGGCGCUUGAGAGAACUCGGGUGAAGGAACUAGGCAAAAUGGUGCCGUAACUUCGGGAGAAGGCACGCUGGUGUGUAGGUGAAGCCCCUGCGGGUGGAGCUGAGACCAGUCGAAGAUACCAGCUGGCUGCAACUGUUUAUUAAAAACACAGCACUGUGCAAACACGAAAGUGGACGUAUACGGUGUGACGCCUGCCCGGUGCCGGAAGGUUAAUUGAUGGGGUUAUCCGUAAGGAGAAGCUCUUGAUCGAAGCCCCGGUAAACGGCGGCCGUAACUAUAACGGUCCUAAGGUAGCGAAAUUCCUUGUCGGGUAAGUUCCGACCUGCACGAAUGGCGUAAUGAUGGCCAGGCUGUCUCCACCCGAGACUCAGUGAAAUUGAACUCGCUGUGAAGAUGCAGUGUACCCGCGGCAAGACGGAAAGACCCCGUGAACCUUUACUAUAGCUUGACACUGAACAUUGAGCCUUGAUGUGUAGGAUAGGUGGGAGGCUUUGAAGCGUGGACGCCAGUCUGCGUGGAGCCAACCUUGAAAUACCACCCUUUAAUGUUUGAUGUUCUAACGUUGGCCCCUGACCGGGGUUGCGGACAGUGUCUGGUGGGUAGUUUGACUGGGGCGGUCUCCUCCCAAAGCGUAACGGAGGAGCACGAAGGUUAGCUAAUCCUGGUCGGACAUCAGGAGGUUAGUGCAAUGGCAUAAGCUAGCUUGACUGCGAGCGUGACGGCGCGAGCAGGUGCGAAAGCAGGUCAUAGUGAUCCGGUGGUUCUGAAUGGAAGGGCCAUCGCUCAACGGAUAAAAGGUACUCCGGGGAUAACAGGCUGAUACCGCCCAAGAGUUCAUAUCGACGGCGGUGUUUGGCACCUCGAUGUCGGCUCAUCACAUCCUGGGGCUGAAGUAGGUCCCAAGGGUAUGGCUGUUCGCCAUUUAAAGUGGUACGCGAGCUGGGUUUAGAACGUCGUGAGACAGUUCGGUCCCUAUCUGCCGUGGGCGCUGGAGAAUUGAGGGGGGCUGCUCCUAGUACGAGAGGACCGGAGUGGACGCAUCACUGGUGUUCGGGUUGUCAUGCCAAUGGCACUGCCCGGUAGCUAAAUGCGGAAGAGAUAAGUGCUGAAAGCAUCUAAGCACGAAACUUGCCCCGAGAUGAGUUCUCCCUGAGACUUUAAGUCUCCUGAAGGAACGUUAAAGACGAUGACGUUGAUAGGCCGGGUGUGUAAGCGCAGCGAUGCGUUGAGCUAACCGGUACUAAUGAACCGUGAGGCUUAACCUUACAACGCCGAAG